rnacentral:tRNA from 1 species
GGCCGACCUAGCUCAGUUGGUUAGAGCGUGGUGCUGGUGACGCCAAGGUCGUCGGUUCGAUCCCGGCGUUGGCCA